UACGGGGGGGGUAAGCGUUGUUCGGAAUUACUGGGCGUAAAGGGCUCGUAGGCGGCCAACUAAGUCAUACGUGAAAUCCCUCAGCUUAACUGGGGAACUGCGUGUGAUACUGGAUGGCUUGGAUUUGGGAGAGGGAUGCGGAAUUCCAGGUGUAGCGGUGAAAUGCGUAGAUAUCUGGAGGAACACCGGUGGCGAAGGCGGCUCACUGGCCCGGUACUGACGCUGAGGUGCGAAAGCGUGGGGAGCAAACAGG
rnacentral:rRNA from 1 species